CUUCUUCUUCUUCUUCUUCUUCGGCCCUAGCAUAGAUGAAGCACGGCUAAGACUGCUAACAGAGUAACAUUAGAAAUGGUAUUUCUAGAGAGAGAAAAAUAAAUGGUUGAAUUUACAGAGAAAGUGAGACAGUAUCCGUUGAAUGAAGUUGUUGACGUUGAAGUGUGAGAGAGGUUGGGUUGAAAUUGAAGCAAAAUGGAAGAGAAGAAGAGCAG
rnacentral:misc_RNA from 1 species